CUACCAUGGCUUUCACGGGUAACGGAGGAUUAGGGUUCGAUUCCGGAGAGGGAGCCUGAGAAACGGCUACCACAUCUAAGGAAGGCAGCAGGCGCGUAAAUUACCCAAUUCUGACUCAGAGAGGUAGUGACAAGAAAUAACGGGUCGGGACUUCUGUCCCGGGACUGUAAUGAACCGAAUUUACACAACUUAGCCAGGAACAAUUGGAGGGCAAGUCUGGUGCCAGCAGCCGCGGUAAUUCCAGCUCCAAUAGCGUAUAUUAAAGUUGUUGCAGUUAAAAAGCUCGUAGUUGGAUUUCUGGCAGGAUGACUUCGCCCUCUGUUGAGUGCGCGAAGAUAUCUUACCAUCCUUCUGUUAAAGUUAGACUUCUUUACCGAAGUCUUUCCAGCCCAGAUAUUUUACCUUGAGAAAAUUAGAGUGUUUCAGGCGGCUCGCGCCGGAAUACAUUAGCAUGGAAUAAUGGAAUAGGACUUUUACCUCUUCUGUUGGUCAUGGGGUUUGAGUAAUGGUUAAUAGGGAUAGUUGGGGGCAUUAGUACUUCACUGUCAGAGGUGAAAUUCUCGGAUUUGUGAAAGACUAACUUAUGCGGAAGCAUUUGCCAAGGAUGUUUUCAUUAAUCAA
rnacentral:rRNA from 1 species